rnacentral:lncRNA from 1 species
CUUUCUCUCUCUCUCUCUCUCGCUCUCUCUGCUAUAUUUAGUACAAUGAGGUUGGCUCAUUAAAGAAAGACAAAAAGUCUGUCUCCCUCCCUCUCCUUUUCCUUCUCUGACUCCCUUCAUCUCUCUUUCCUCUGUAAGUGGUCUAUGUGAGGAGAGUAGACUCCUUGGUCACAGAGUGUGGGUGUGAAAUGCUUCAUUAUAUUCAAUUAACUGACAGGUCACAGUCAUAUAUGCUGUUAAAUCAAUUCUCAAUAUUAAGUGUUAUUAUCAUGGGUGAACGGCCCUAAACAGUGUCCCAUGCAUUCAUUGUCAGUGGGGUUUGUAAACCAACCCGGAUGUAAUAUAAUUCUGGCCACAUGUUGACUCAGUCGCGCUUCUCCAUGCGGGAGGGACGUACACUCUGUAAACAGGAAUGGAAAGCUAAAGUUAACUAGUUAGUCACAGAUAUGUACGUUCAGCCUGUUAAUUAUUUCAGUCCGAGUUGUCUUAUCUUACGAAGUCAGCACGGCUUAACAUAGUUCAUUUAGUUUUUGACCUCGACAUUGUUGCUGGAAAGAUACUUUCUUAACUAACAUGCUGGCGCUGCUAGCUAGCUAAUGCUAACGGCGCUAGCUAACCUCAUAUCUGGAUGCCUCACUCUAGUUCCCGAGAGAGCAGCAUACUGAUCUUUCCACCUGCUCAGUGGGUGACAGGUCUUUCCACCAAGCUGUUCCAGGCCUGGAGUGGCAUGCUGGAACUUCCAGAGGCUUCUACACCUGAAGCAUUGUGAUGUGGUCCAGAUCUGCCAGCCCCAGCAGUUCAGCUGCAGUCUCAGCAGUCCUCUGCUGUGGUCUUUCAUUUACCGGCUGCACCAGUUCCUACUACACUGGCCGUGAAGGGAGGAACUGUUGAGGAGACCCAGAUGGAUACAGAUCUGCCUGACAGCCUCACCCAGAAGACACUGGGCCUAUCAAGACUGACAAAGCAGAGAUGGGUGGCUGACAAGGAAAAAUAAAACACAACACACACAUUAUCCACAAUGUAAAUACAUUGUAAUUACUUGUUUAUUUCAUGUUUGCUGCAUUUUAUUUGAGGAUUGGAGAGAUCUACUCCUUCAUAUCCAUUCUUAAUAUCUACAUAAUUACUCUCCAUAUCUAUCAAAUCAAAGGGGGAUUGAUAAUAUUGUAAAAGACUAUGGCUUAAUGUUUACAGUUUGAGGAAAUUGUGUGUGCUUUUUUUCUAAGUUGAAGAACAUGCCUCUCUCAACACAGACACACAUUCGACCCAAUGUAAAUACAUGGUUUAUUUUAUCUCUGCUCCAUUUUAUUUGGAGAUUGUGUGAAAUAAAAUAUAUUCACAGCUAAAGCAACAGUUUGGUUUAUUGGAUAUUUCUCUGAUUUUAAAAUGAAUGACCAAAAAGAAAGGAAGUCGGCAGCCCUGCAACCCUCUGGGAGUGUGCAGGUUUUGUCAUCUGCAGUUGAAACAGGGCCCCAACAACCCUCACAAAUGUACAGGGUUCCCAGGAGUAGCAGGCAAAUAUGUUUGUCUUGCAAACGUUUUUUAAUGUACCAAAGCCAUUCCCUGGCUACCCAUCCACAUCGCUCAGGCCAAACUAAACGUUUGUUCUCCACAAUGAAUGUUUGUACAUUUCAGGGUAAAUCAUCAGGCAAUCAAGGCCAAGGAAUGGAGAGAGAGAGAGAGAUGACCUGGAGGGAGUUUCAGCCUCAGUUAUUUAUGCAGCAAAAAAGCGGAGAUGGG